GGGAUAACUUACAAUGGCUUGUUAAAUCGAUUGCUAAUCGACUGAUUUAAUAUCACUAGGUGUUCGACUCACCUUUAUCCCG
rnacentral:tRNA from 1 species